GAGUUUGAUCCUGGCUCAGGAUGAACGCUAGCGACAGGCUUAACACAUGCAAGUCGAGGGGCAGCGGGGCGGCAGGCUUGCCUGCCGCCGCCGGCGACCGGCGCACGGGUGAGUAACACGUAUGCAACCUGCCCGUGGCAGGGGGAUAAGCGGGGGAAACCCCGUCUAAUACCGCGUAACGCGGCCUUGGGGCAUCCCCGGGCCGCCAAAGGGAGCAAUCCCGGCCACGGAUGGGCAUGCGGCGCAUUAGCUAGUCGGCGGGGUAACGGCCCACCGAGGCGACGAUGCGUAGGGGUUCUGAGAGGAAGGCCCCCCACACUGGUACUGAGACACGGACCAGACUCCUACGGGAGGCAGCAGUGAGGAAUAUUGGUCAAUGGGCGCGAGCCUGAACCAGCCAAGUCGCGUGAGGGAGGACGGCCCUACGGGUUGUAAACCUCUUUUGCCGGGGAGCAACGGGCGCCACGUGUGGCGCCACUGAGAGUACCCGGAGAAAAAGCAUCGGCUAACUCCGUGCCAGCAGCCGCGGUAAUACGGAGGAUGCGAGCGUUAUCCGGAUUUAUUGGGUUUAAAGGGUGCGUAGGCGGAGCGUUAAGUCAGUGGUCAAAUUGAGGGGCUCAACCCCUUCCCGCCAUUGAAACUGGCGCUCUUGAGUGGAAGAGAAGUAUGCGGAAUGCGUG
rnacentral:rRNA from 1 species